rnacentral:tRNA from 1 species
GGCUGGAGAGUGGCUCAGCGGUUAAGAGCACUGACUGCUCUUCCAGAGGACCUGAGUUCAAUUCCCAGCAGCCA